rnacentral:miRNA from 2 species
UUCACCUGGUCCACUAGCCG